AUGAGGAGACACUGGGGAGCUCUGCUGGGAAUCCUGUGGCUCCAGGUUUGCUGGGUGAGAGGGAUGACGGUGGAGCAGAGCCCUUCAGCCCUGAACCUCCAGGAGGGAGCCAGCUAUACUCUGAAGUGCAAUUUUUCUAGCAGUCCAUACAGUGUGCAGUGGUUCCGACAGCAUCCCGGGGGCAGCGACCUCACCAGGCUGUUUUAUAUAACUUCAGGGAUGCAGCACAGUGGGAGGUUAAACUGCACAGUGAAUACUAAGGAACAGUUCAGCACCCUCCAUAUCACGGCGUCCCGACUGGAAGACUCAGCCACCUACCUGUGUGCGGUGGAGGCACAGUGCUCCCCAGUGAUCUGCAGCCUGCACCCAAACUGCAGCUGUGCCUGCAAGCCCCCGCCCUUCCCUGGAGCUUCCACUGCAGCCAUUGCAUAUUUUCAGAUUUAUGUAA